rnacentral:rRNA from 1 species
AUGGCUCAGAACGAACGCUGGUAGCGUGGAUUAGGCAUGCAAGUCGGACGGGAUCCGGGAGGUAGCAAUACUGCCGGUGAGAGUGGCGGACUGGGGAGGAACACGUGAGCAACUUGGCCCGACGGGACGGGGAAAACCGUUGGAAACGACGGCUAAUACCGGAUGCGGCGCCUUGGGGACAUCCCUUGGGCGCCAAAGGGGGCCGAAAGGCUCCCGCCCGCGGAGAGGCUCGCGCACCAUCAGCUAGUUGGCGGGUGAAGGCCCACCAAGGCUUACGGUUAGCUGGUCUGAGAGGAUGACCAGCCCCACUGGGACUGAGACACUGCCCAGACUCCUACGGGAGGCUGCAGUCGAGGAUCAUUUGCAAUGGGCGAAAGCCUGACAAUGCGACGCUGCGUGGAAGGAUGAAGGCCUUCGGGUCGUAAACUCCUGUCAUGGGGGAACAGGCGAGGAUACCCAACACGUAUCUUAGUUGAGUCGUACCCAAGAGGAAGGGACGGCUAACUCUGUGCCAGCAGCAGC